UACGUAUGUUCCAAGCGUUAUCCGGAUUUAUUGGGCGUAAAGCGAGCGCAGACGGUUAUUUAAGUCUGAAGUGAAAGCCCUCAGCUCAACUGAGGAAUGGCUUUGGAAACUGGAUGACUUGAGUGCAGUAGAGGAAAGUGGAACUCCAUGUGUAGCGGUGAAAUGCGUAGAUAUAUGGAAGAACACCAGUGGCGAAGGCGGCUUUCUGGACUGUAACUGACGUUGAGGCUCGAAAGUGUGGGUAGCAAACAGGAUUAGAUACCCUGGUAGUCAAGGGCG
rnacentral:rRNA from 1 species